GUAGCGUAGUUGAUAAGCAUCUGCCUUGCAUGCAGAUUGUUCCAGGUUCAAUCCCCGGCAUCUCCA